rnacentral:rRNA from 1 species
AUUGAACGCUGGCGGCAUGCCUUACACAUGCGAGUCGAACGGUAACAGGUUAAGCUGCCGAGUGGCGAACGGGUGAGUAAUGUAUCGGAACGUGCCCAGUCGUGGGGGAUAACUGCUCGAAAGAGCAGCUAAUACCGCAUACGACCUGAGGGUGAAAGCGGGGGAUCGCAAGACCUCGCGCGAUUGGAGCGGCCGAUAUCAGAUUAGGUAGUUGGUGAGGUAAAGGCUCACCAAGCCGACGAUCUGUAGCUGGUCUGAGAGGACGACCAGCCACACUGGGACUGAGACACGGCCCAGACUCCUACGGGAGGCAGCAGUGGGGAAUGUUGGACAAUGGGCGCAAGCCUGAUCCAGCCAUGCCGCGUGCGGGAAGAAGGCCUUCGGGUUGUAAACCGCUUUUGUCAGGGAAGAAAAGGUUCUGGCUAAUACCUGGGACUCAUGACGGUACCUGAAGAAUAAGCACCGGCUAACUACGUG